GAAAUGGCUGAGCUGUUCGUCACGAAAAAACUAGAAGAUUGGAAAUUGGAAGAGUUUUCAUCGAACUUUGAAACGAACCUUUCGAGAGAUAUGGUAUCUUCAAGAAUUUCCUAAUCACUCCAUCAUUAUCACAUUGCUGAAGGUUGUAAAGGCCAAAAAUGACAAAGACAUUUAUUUAAUAUUUGAUUUUAUGGGUGUGUGAAUUACAUUUUCGCAAAGAAGACAUUCUUCAUGAAGCAGAAUUCUUCGAUGAAAAGUCGAUGAGACUUCUAAGGAGUGAAAUAUUUGGUAUGUCCCACAAUGACUCAAAUGCUGCAUCCAGUGCUUUCACAUUUAUGAUCCAAAGUUUAUUGUCUCCGUACAAAGAUGUGGCACAUAUUUUGCCAGUCCGUAGCAUAGAUGCUGACGAUUUCCAUUCAUAUAUAAAAAAAAUCUUGAUUGGUUUAGCUGCCAUAGGGUUUAAUGUCAUAUCAGUAGCCACUGACAAUAAUGCUAUUAAUAAAAAGGCCGUUAGUAUGUUUGCCUCUCCCCUUGAGUCGCGGGUUAGGUAUGAUUAUCCUGGAAGUCCAGGAAAAUAUUUCUAUUUUUCUUUUGAUUCCGUUCAUAUUUUUACAGACUACAUUCAGAUUCUUUGCAAGUGGUGGUCAAUAAUGAAUGUGAAAACUUUGUAUAAGGGUGAGCAUAAAAGGGAUGAGUUCCAAACGCCUCUCACACCAAAUACUGACACAGCUCAGUAUAAGUUCUUAACUAACUUUAUUAAUUGGUUAGACAAAUGGGAGGAAAUGAAUUGUACAACUGGUGGAUUAACAAAGCAAACCCA